rnacentral:RNase_P_RNA from 1 species
AAGCAUAAGAUAAUCGCGCAACAAUAGUUGUGAGGAAAGUCCUGGCUAGCGUAAGCUGAGAGGUGAUUUACACCGGGUGUGGAGCCUGCUUACAGGAAAGGUGCGUGGUGCAAACCACGGGAGGGUAACCUUACGGCAGAGAAAUCAUCCCUCGUGGAUGAGAAUAUCUUUAAAGUGCCAUAGUGACGAUGCCCAUCGGCGACGAUGGGAGUGAGACGACGUAAACCCCACCUUGCUAGAAACCCUCUGAGAGGGGAACCCGGUUUAGGAAAAUGAACCGAACCCGGGUGCUUUGUUAAGAACAAAGUAAGAAAGAUGAUUAUCCUAGACAGAAUCAGGCUUACAGUG